rnacentral:misc_RNA from 1 species
CCGCUUCCAAAUGACACGUACAGAACAGAUCCAGGCGGCUGCUCGCCUAGCCACCUCAAACAUUCUGCUUCCUCUGCCUUGCUACUUGAACCCAUGUUCACAAGCGGACCAACCGGGUAAACGGGUGGCUUACCGGGUUCUUCCUCUUGUAAAGCCUUUGAGGCUCCUCCUUCCAUGUCUACGAAGCUAUUCACCAUAAUACCGUCAGCUAGUCUAUACCUCUUUGUAUGGUGAAGAAGCCACUUGUAAGCAUCAUUCUUCCG